CAGGGAAUUUUGCACAAUGGACGAAAGUCUGAUGCAGCGACGCCGCGUGGGGGAUGAAUGCCUUCGGGUUGUAAACCCCUUUCAGGAGGGACGAAGCGAAAGUGACGGUACCUCCAGAAGAAGCCCCGGCCAACUACGUGCCAGCAGCCGCGGUAAUACGUAGGGGGCGAACGUUGUCCGGAUUUAUUGGGCGUAAAGAGCUCGUAGGCGGCUCAGCAAGUCGGCCGUGAAAACCCGGGGCUCAACCCCGGGACGCCGGUCGAAACUGCUGUGGCUAGGGUCCGGUAGAGGAGAGUGGAAUUCCCGGUGUAGCGGUGAAAUGUGCAGAUAUCGGGAGGAACACCAGUUGCGAAGGCGGCUCUCUGGGCCGGUACCGACGCUGAGGAGCGAAAGCUAGGGGAGCAAACAGGAUUAGAUACCCUGGUAGUCCACGCUGUAAACGAUGGGCACUAGGUGUAGGAGGUAUUGACCCCUUCUGUGCCGAAGCUAACGCAUUAAGUGCCCCGCCUGGGGAGUACGGCCGCAAGGUUA
rnacentral:rRNA from 1 species